CUUUACUAGGAUCUCGUUCGGGCUCGACUGACGACUCGUCCGUACACCUCGGUUACCUUCGGUACUACUCGGCUCUCUUCGGUCGCGCAUGCCCUCUAUAAUGCUCUCUACCAAGCUAUCAGUUUUCAGACGUACGGAACAAUAUAAUAAAUUCAAUGAAAGGUCGUCGGCAUUCGGGAUUUUCCAAGGAUUAUAAAUUUCAAUCAUAUACCACAUAAAUCUUUUCCUUACCAUACAAAACUUUUCUAUGGUUGUUAAUCUCAAUAAAGAUUUAAGAUAUUUAA